rnacentral:lncRNA from 1 species
AAUCAAACCAAAGACUUCUAUCUCUUCCUGAAGAGUAUAUAUGACUCAACUCUUAGUUCCCCAUAGGAGUAUAGUUGACUCCAUCCUCAUCACAGAGAAAUUCUAUAAAUGAUAAUACUUCUCCCUUUUCUGAAUUCUUAGUGCUAUAGUAUCCCUAUAGUCUCAUACAAUUUAGCUUUUGAUUGUACACUGUCUUUUAAUUGUCUCCUGAAUGUAGUAAAUCUUAUCUCCCCAACAAGAUUCUAAGGAACUGAUCUCCUACCUAAUAGCCUUAGUAAGAGCUGAUGGGGGAAUAUUGUGUGAUGACAUUAUUGUGUUCCUUGUUUAAUAAGUACUCACUGACUUUUUAACAGGACUCCCACACUGAAGCUGGAGCCCUGCUAAAGUACUACAGCAUAGCCUGUCUAAUGCAGAAACCACCAAUUAUUGCUGUAAAAAUUCUAAAACUCUGUAGACUACUAUUAUCCCUGAGCUCAGUAAGCAUAGAAGGAAAGCAUUGUUUAAAUGCCUACUUAAAAUAUAUAAAAUGUUGGCUAAGUGCCAGAAGACUUCAUAGACAUCAUUAUUUAAAUAUAUAUUUAAAAUAUGUCAUCACCUUUAAAAAGCUAAGUGAAGCAAUGACUUUGACUUCCUUUGGUUAUUGUCACUGAUAAGAUUCUAGCAGAAUUUUCCCAUGUUAGCUUCCUGAACAACAUAGCCAAUUAGGUGCCCUCCACAUGUGGUUGAAUAAGUAUGACCACUGUCUUUCACUGAAGCUUGAGAGUGCAUCAACUUGGGCUGUGUCACACUUGCCCAUCAUACUUAGCUUUCAGUUUUCUACAACCCAAGAUCUUUUUCAAACUACUAUUUUUAUUAACUUUGUGUUUGUCAAGAUAAUUUUUUAACUCAAUUGUAAGACUUAUGUCUAAUAAAUUUCUUAAUAGAUUUAUGAGAGGCAGUGUGAUACAAUGGAUAGGAGAAAGUUGGCCUCAGCCAGAAAUAUCUAGAGUCAAGUCGUCCUUCUAACACAUAUUAGUUGUAUGGGCAAGUUACUUAACUUCUCAAUGCUCUAGGUAGUUCUCUAAAACUAUUAAGUUCCAGAGACAUUAUUAGCCUGUAUUGCCAGAACAAAUUAGUCACUAGCAGCUCCAGUUCCUUUCCUUAACAUAUUUGAUUCAUCAUAAUAGCUUUGUAGAAAUAUUUUGUUGGAACCCGAUUGUUACCACCAUGAGAGC